CGCUGGAGGCAGCGGUUCAUCGAUCUCUUCCUGUGAACACAUUAAAAAUGUAAAAGCAUGAAUAGAUCGAUAAACCUCUGCAUCCAGC
rnacentral:pre_miRNA from 14 species